UUCGUUCAACCCUAUUAAUGGGGUCGGAAGUAGGCAUCAGCCGAAGGAACGCCUU
rnacentral:ncRNA from 10 species